AUAUCCCUGCGGUGCACGUUGGAAAGUUGAUAAUUAUUGAACCAACAAAAUUGUCAUGGGGGCCAAACUUCCUUAGCGCUUUGGCGUUCAAGGAGAAGGUACCCACUUGAACCAAUAUGGUUCAAACUAUCGUUCCAACGGCACAAUGCGGGGAUUUU
rnacentral:sRNA from 1 species